CGCCUGGGGAGUACGGGUGAGGUAACGGCUCACCAAGGCAUCGACGGGUAGCUGGUCUGAGAGGAUGAUCAGCCACACUGGGACUGAGACACGGCCCAGACUCCUACGGGAGGCAGCAGUAGGGAAUAUUGCACAAUGGGCGAAAGCCUGAUGCAGCAACGCCGCGUGCGGGAAGAAGGCCCUAGGGUUGUAAACCGCUUUCAGCAGGGAAGAAAAUGACGGUACCUGCAGAAGAAGGUGCGGCCAACUACGUGCCAGCAGCCGCGGUGACACGUAGGCACCAAGCGUUGUCCGGAUUUAUUGGGCGUAAAGAGCUCGUAGGCGGUUCAGUAAGUCGGGUGUGAAAACUCUUGGCUCAACCCAGAGACGCCACUCGAUACUGCUGUGACUUGAGUCCGGUAGGGGAGUGGGGAAUUCCUGGUGUAGCGGUGAAAUGCGCAGAUAUCAGGAGGAACACCAAUGGCGAAGGCACCACUCUGGGCCGAGACUGACGCUGAGGAGCGAAAGCGUGGGUAGCAAACAGGAUUAGAUACCCUGGUAGUCCACGCCGUAAACGGUGGGCACUAGGUGUGGGUUCCAACCAACGGGAUCCGCGCCGUCGCUAACGCAUUAAGUGCCCCGCCUGGGGAGUACGG
rnacentral:rRNA from 1 species